AGCAACGCGCAGAACCUUACCAACCCUUGACAUGGGUAUCGCGGGACCGGAGACGGUUCUUUCAGUUCGGCUGGAUACCACACAGGUGCUGCAUGGCUGUCGUCAGCUCGUGUCGUGAGAUGUUCGGUUAAGUCCGGCAACGAGCGCAACCCACACUCUUAGUUGCCAGCAUUCAGUUGGGCACUCUAGGAGAACUGCCGGUGAUAAGCCGGAGGAAGGUGUGGAUGACGUCAAGUCCUCAUGGCCCUUACGGGUUGGGCUACACACGUGCUACAAUGGUGGUGACAAUGGGCCAAUCCCAAAAAGCCAUCUCAGUUCGGAUUGGGGUCUGCAACUCGACCCCAUGAAGUCGGAAUCGCUAGUAAUCGCGUAACAGCAUGACGCGGUGAAUACGU
rnacentral:rRNA from 1 species